CAGCCGCCGCGGUAAUACGGAGGGUCCGAGCGUUAUCCGGAAUUAUUGGGUUUAAAGGGUCCGUAGGCGGGCCAUUAAGUCAGGGGUGAAAGUCUGCGGCUCAACCGUAGAAUUGCCUUUGAUACUGGUGGUCUUGAGUUAUGGUGAAGUGGCUGGAAUAUGUAGUGUAGCGGUGAAAUGCAUAGAUAUUACAUAGAACACCGAUUGCGAAGGCAGGUCACUAACCAUAUACUGACGCUGAUGGACGAAAGCGUGGGGAGCGAACAGGAUUAGAUACCCUGGUAGUCCACGCCGUAAACGAUGGAUACUAGCUGUCCGGUCCUUGAGACCUGGGCGGCCAAGCGAAAGUGAUAAGUAUCCCACCUGGGGAGUACGUUCGCAAGAAUGAAACUCAAAGGAAUUGACGGGGGCCCGCACAAGCGGUGGAGCAUGUGGUUUAAUUCGAUGAUACGCGAGGAACCUUACCAGGGCUUAAAUGCAUAUUGACAGGGGUAGAGAUACCUUUUCCUUCGGGCAAUUUGCAAGGUGCUGCAUGGUUGUCGUCAGCUCGUGCCGUGAGGUGUCAGGUUAAGUCCUAUAACGAGCGCAACCCCUACCGUUAGUUGCCAGCGAGUCAUGUCGGGGACUCUAACGGGACUGCCGGUGCAAACCGUGAGGAAGGUGGGGAUGACGUCAAAUCAUCACGGCCCUUACGUCCUGGGCCACACACGUGCUACAAUGGCCGGUACAGAGAGCAGCCAUCUGGCAACAGAGAGCGAAUCUACAAAACCGGUCACAGUUCGGAUCGGGGUCUGCAACUCGACCCCGUGAAGCUGGAAUCGCUAGUAAUCGGAUAUCAGCCAUGAUCCGGUGAAUACGUUCCCGGGCCUUGUACACACCGCCCGUCAAGCCAUGGAAGCCGGGAGUGCCUGAAGUCCGUCACCGUAAGGAGCGGCCUAGGGCAAGAUCGGUAACUAGGGCUAAGUCGUAACAAGGUAACCGUA
rnacentral:rRNA from 1 species